rnacentral:rRNA from 1 species
UACGUAGGGUGCGAGCGUUAAUCGGAAUUACUGGGCGUAAAGCGUGCGCAGGUGGUCAUGCAAGACAGAUGUGAAAUCCCCGGGCUUAACCUGGGAACUGCAUUUGUGACUGCACGGCUAGAGUGCGGCAGAGGGGGAUGGAAUUCCGCGUGUAGCAGUGAAAUGCGUAGAUAUCGGGAAGAACACCCGUGGCGAAGGCGGCUCUCUGGGACGGUACUGACGCUGAGACGCGAAAAGCGUGGGGGAGCAAACAGG